rnacentral:siRNA from 1 species
AAGAGAAAGACUACACAAGAUGGU